rnacentral:rRNA from 1 species
GUGACAUAUAGUUCAACGGCCGCGGUAUCCUAACCGUGCGAAGGUAGCGUAAUCACUUGUUCUUUAAUUGAGGACUAGUAUGAACGGCUUCACGAAGACUACACUGUCUCCUUUUUCUAAUCAAUGAAACUAAUCUCCCCGUGAAGAAGCGGGGAUAAACCUAUAAGACGAGAAGACCCUAUGGAGCUUUAAACGAUCGAAAUAUUUGCUACCUCACUUUUCACCUCCUGAGAACUAAAUAUAUUUUCAGCAUCUUAAUUUCUAGUUUUAGGUUGGGGUGACCACGGAGAACAAACUAACCUCCACGCUGAACGAGCCUUUCUCUUAGCAAAAAGUCACAACUUUAUGCAUCAAUACAUUGACUUCCAUUGACCCA